rnacentral:misc_RNA from 1 species
UGUAGGAGUGAGCCUGCUCGCGAUAGCGGUGGAUCAGUCAGUAAUGGUGUGUCUGACCCACCGCUAUCGCGAGCAGGCUCGCUCCCACA